rnacentral:rRNA from 1 species
AUUAGGAGAGGAAAAGAAAUUAACUAAGAUUCCCUGAGUAGCGGCGAGCGAAACGGGAAAAGUCCAGCAUUAAGUCCUUCUUCUGAUAACCAGUAGAAUGGAGAUUCAAUGUAAAGGAGUGUCUAUUAUAUUAUGCAUUUUGAUUAUAUGUUCAAGUCCAUCUUGAAUGGGGCCAUUUACCCAUAGAGGGUGCCAGGCCCGUAGUGACUAUAAUCUUGCAUAAAAAGAUAUCUCUAGAGAGUCGUGUUGCUUGAUAGUGCAGCACUAAGUUGGUGGUAAACUCCAUCUAAGAUUAAAUAUGACCACGAGACCGAUAGCGAACAAGUACCGUGAGGGAAAGUUGAAAAGAACUCUGAAUAGAG